UACGAAGGGGGCUAGCGUUGCUCGGAAUCACUGGGCGUAAAGCGCACGUAGGCGGACUCUUAAGUCGGUGGUGAAAUCCUGGAGCUCAACUCCAGAACUGCCUUCGAUACUGGGAGUCUUAGAGUCCGGGAGAGGUGAGUGGAACUGCGAGUGUAGAGGUGAAAUUCGUAGAUAUUCGCAAGAACACCAGUGGCGAAGGCGGCUCACUGGCCCGGUACUGACGCUGAGGUGCGAAAGCGUGGGGAGCAAACAGG
rnacentral:rRNA from 1 species